rnacentral:rRNA from 1 species
AACGUUGAAGACGACGACGUUGAUAGGCCGGGUGUGUAAGCGCAGCGAUGCGUUGAGCUAACCGGUACUAAUGAACCGUGAGGCUUAACCUUAC